UUAAAAUAAUUUUAUUUUUAUUUGUAAAUUAGUUAAUUUAUUAGUUUGUUAUUAUUAAAUAGUACCUUUUGUAUUAGGGUAAUUUAAUUUAUUAAAUUAUUUAUAUUCCCGAAUUGAGAUGACCUAUUUAGGUAUUAUUUUAUUUGUUUUAUAAAAUUUAUUAAUACUUAAUUUGUAAUUAUAAGUUAUUCGAUUCUCAUUUAUAUCUGGUUUCUUUAGAUUAAAUUUAAUUUUGGAAUAUUUUUAAUUUUAUUUAUUAUUUUUAUUCUUAUUUUAUAAUGGAUAAUCAUUAUAUUUAAAUAUAAUUUUGAUUUAUAAAUUUUAAUAAACUUUUAAAUUUUGUAUUAAGUUUUUAAUAAAUUCAAUUUUGUUAUUUUUAUUUAUUUUAAUUUAUUUAAUUAUAAAGUUUAUUUAAUUAAUAAUUUUUAUUUUAAAUAAUGAUUUAAUUAGUAUAAUAUUUAUUUAAUUAUAUUUGAAUUCGACAAUUAUAAUUUCUAACUGUUUACCAAAAACAUUUCUUUGAGUUAAAAUUUCAAAGUAAGUUCUGCCCUAUGAAUAUUUAAAUGGCUGCAGUAUUUUAACUGUACAAAGGUAGCAUAAUAAUUAGUCUUUUAAUUAAGGGCUAGUAUGAAUGAAUAAAUAAGAAAUUUGUUAUAAUUUAAUUAAUU
rnacentral:rRNA from 1 species